GCUCAAAUUUAAAAUCUGACUUCUUUUGAGGUCCGAAUUGUAAGUUAGAGAAGUGUUACCCGCGCUGGGCCGUGUACAAGUCUCCUGGAACGGAGCGUCAUAGAGGGUGAGAAUCCCGUCUUUGACACGGACUGCCAGGGUAUAGUGGUGCGCUCUCGA
rnacentral:rRNA from 1 species